UUUCCCAAAUCUCUCUGUAUGAACUCUCUCUCUCUCAAAAUGUCUCUCGCUCGACUCUCUUUGGACUCUCCACCCUCUCUCGCUCGAAUCUGACUGGCCACAGUCGAAGCUCUUCAUAUGCAUCGCCAUUCUCACACUCUUCGGAGCUUCCAAAGCAAAUUAAUCAACCACAACACAUUGUAGCGAUCUUCUUCUUCAUCAUCUCUCUCUCUUUCUUCAAUCGCCGGAGCUUCCACGGCUGCUUAUUUCGCUGUCGGAUCAGUCUUCGUCGCCUUCAAAUCCGUCGAAAUUUCUGCUCAUUCUAGCAAUUUGAAACUCUCUAAUUUCCGACAUUGCUCUCCGAUUUCAAGCCGAGUCGGAUCUAUUUAGCUCUGACAUAGCCUUAACUCGCAUUGCGGAUACCGAAGCUCCUUUGCUUCGUCUGGUAUUCGUUCUCUUUGUUUUGGCAAAUCCUCUGAUCACUGGUCGAAGCUCUCCUUUGGAUCACAAGCUUCGAAGUUUGCAAAAAAUGUGAGGGAUUCACAGCUUCAGAGUGAGAGGUCAAAUGAUAUGUUUUGUGAUGACAUUUUUGGAGAGUCACCUGCUGGAGUUCGUAAAACAGUGGUUGCAGGUAUGACCGGUAAAAAACAAGGGUAGUAUGGAUAUUAGAAGUAAGCAAUGAUUUGUCUUAUCCUGCCUCCAUUCCCCUUCCCCUCUUACUCUGAUUAGAGAUUGGAAUAAGAUUUUUUUAUCAUGUGAGAACAAAGAAUUAUUGUUGCUACUGGUUAUUCACCUUUAUUUUUGCUUGUGGAUUUUAAUGCUGUUAACACAUGUGGUUUCUCAUGCUAUCAAUCGGAAUUGGAUGAGCUCCAUAAGAAGCUUAGUUCUGCA